rnacentral:rRNA from 1 species
UACGGAGGGUGCAAGCGUUAUCCGGAUUCACUGGGUUUAAAGGGAGCGUAGGUGGCUUUGUAAGUCAGUGGUGAAAUACCGCAGCUCAACCGCGGAACUGCCAUUGAUACUGCUUAGCUUGAAUCACGUCGAGGUGGAUGGAAUAAUACAUGUAGCGGUGAAAUGCUUAGAUAUGUAUUAGAACACCGAUUGCGAAGGCAGUUCACUAGGCGUGUAUUGACACUGAGGCUCGAAAGCGUGGGGAGCAAACAGGG